rnacentral:rRNA from 1 species
UACGUAGGGGGCGAGCGUUGUCCGGAUUCAUUGGGCGUAAAGCGCGCGCAGGCGGUGGCGUGAGCCCGGCGUGAAAGCCCCCAGCUCAACUGGGGGAGGCCGUCGGAGACCGCGCGACUUGAGGCCGGUAGGGGAGAGCGGAAUUCCCGGUGUAGUGGUGGAAUGCGUAGAUAUCGGGAGGAACACCAGUGGCGAAGGCGGCUCUCUGGGCCGGCCCUGACACUGAGACGCGAAGGCGUGGGGAGCGAACGGGG